rnacentral:rRNA from 1 species
GACGAACGCUGGCGGCGUGGAUUAGGCAUGCAAGUCGAACGGUAUCAUCCUUUCGGGGGUGAGAGAGUGGCGAACUGGUGAGUAACACGUAGGUUAUCUACCCUCAAGACGGGGACAACCCAGGGAAACUUGGGCUAAUACCGGAUGUGAGCAACUUUUAGUUGUUUGAAAGGUGGCGUAAGCUGUCGCUUGGGGAUGAGCCUGCGUCCUAUUAGUUAGUUGGUGAGGUAACGGCUCACCUAGGCAAUGAUAGGUAGGCGGCCUUAACGGGUGGUCGCCCACACUGGGAUUGAGAUACGGCCCAGACUCCUACGGGAGGCAGCAGUCGAGAAUAGUCUACAAUGGUCGGAAGACUGAUAGUGCGACGCCGCGUGAACGAUGAAUCCCUUCGGGGUGUAAAGUUUCUUUUAUAUGUGAGCAGUGCUUCUUAUAUUAACAGUAUGGGGAGAGAGAUAUUAGCAUAUGAAUAAGCAACGGCUAACUCCGUGCCAGCAGCCGCGGUAAUA